rnacentral:lncRNA from 1 species
UCCGAUUUGACCCUCUAGCCUGGGAACCUCCAUAUGACGUGAGUGUGGCCCUAAAAGGACAAAAGAAAAAAAAAAAGAGUUUUGGAUGAAAAUAUGUAGAUGUAUCCUGCUCUGUCCCAUCCUCUCUAUUAUAAAAUACUGCGUCACACACAGGGAGCACAGAAUACAGACUAAUUCAAUAAGUAACAGAUUCAGGCCAAAAUAAGCUUAGAUAAGUCUGCAUUUUGUAAAGGGGCUGCUACUUAUUUCUUUUCCCUUGCAGGUAGUAAUUUAGACAUAAAAUCUGGAGUACUGGGGAGAGGUCAGAUUUGCUGAGAAAGAUCUGGUAGUCUUGGAAUAUAGAUAGUUUUUAAAGCCACAGGAUGGCUUGGGCUUCCUUUGGAAAAACAUGUAGUUAGAGAAAGGAAUGGGGACUAAAUUAGUGUCCUAUUGUGGCUGUAACAAACUACUACAAACUUAGUAGCCUACAACAACACAAAUUUAUUAUUUUAUGGUUCUGGAACUCAGAAGUCAAAACUGGAUCUCACUGGGCCAAAAUCAAGGCUUUGGCUACACUCCCUCUGGAGACUCUAGUACCUAAUCCAUCUUCUCACCUUUUCUACUGUCUCCUGGAAACUUGCUUUCAUUGCCUGUAGCUCCUUUCUCAUAUUCAAAGUACAUUAGUCCAGCCUCUAUUUCCAUUAUCAUAGCUUUUUUUUUUUUAAACUCUCCUGUUUCCCUUUUUCCUUUAUAAGGAUUCCUCUGAUUUUAAUGGGCCCAUCUGGAUAAUCCAGGGUAAUCUCCCAUCUCAAGAGCCUUAAUCAUAUCUGCAAAGUCUUUUUUUGUCAUCUAUGGUGAAAUAUUUACAUGUUCUGGGGAUGAGGAUAUGAACAACUCGGCGGGCAUUUUGCUAACACAGGACCCAAGACCAAUCCCUAGAGUGCUCCUCGGAGGUUGAAUAGGGAAGAAGCAGAAGAGGAGGAGGAAGGUCCAGUGAGAUAGAAGGAAAACCAGGAGUAUGUGUGACAGAAGCCAAAGGCAGACAUUUUUACGAAAGAAGGAGUCUAAUUGUAUCAGAUUUGAAUUUGGCUGUAAAUAAUGGAAAAACCUAUUACAGUGGUUUAACCAAAGAAUGGGUUUAUUGUGGUCAUAACAAUAGGUCUAGAAGAGGCCAUCCCUGGCUGGACUCCUAGUGCAAGUUACCUCUGACUUCCUCCUCUGCUGUGUUUAGGGUGGAGCUUCACAUUUCCAAGACAGUGGUGGCAUCUCUAGGCUUUGAUUGUGUCUUUCAUUCAGAAGAAUGAGAAAUGGUAAAGAGCAAAGGUCAAAGGGUAAAAGGUCAGCUAAUGGUGGUUCCUUUUCGAAAAACUUCCUCAAAAGCACCUUCCAGUCACUUCUGCCUACAUAUCAUUGGCCAGGCUACAUGGCCACCUCCAGAGGCAUGAGAGAAAUCUGUGGGCUGGGAAGAGGGAAGAAUGAGUAUAAGAUAGGCAGUUAAAAGCAUCUGUUGUUGUAAUUGUUAACCAUAGAAUUUUUGUAAAGAAAAAGGCAUCAAGAGGUCUUUCAUUCAGGAUCACUUCUUCCAAGGAGGUUGUGGCUUUAAAAAUGAACUUUACUCCUUUUUAAAAGACUUUGAUGAUUGGUGGUCUAUAAUCUCUGUAGAAGCUCUUAUAACAUCUGAUUUAUAUGACUUAUGAAGCUUUUCCCUUCAGUCUCAGAAUUUCCUCUCUGAAGCAAUUUAAUCUCAUUUCUUUUUGUUCACUCUUCUGGAGAGAGGGAGUAAUACUAGUCAGCAUCAAUCAAUUGUCUGGACCCUUGAAAUAGUUUGAAUGAGCAAUUCUCCAGUGAAUUAGUGGAAAAAGGCAUUGGGAGAUGAAAUACAGGUGUAAUUCUGUUAGAGCUUAUUGAGGAUAUUAGUGAAAUACAAAGUGAGGGAAAGCAUACUCGUUUGUAUUGGUAAAGAACUCGUAUGAAUUUUCAUACAAAUUGGAGAGGGUGUUAUAUAUGGUCUUUAUUUAUGAGGAUGGAACUUUGAAUAUAUAAGAUGGAAAUGUAAUAAAUACUUCAAAACAUUGCAGAAAGAUGAUUUCAAGGCAAGAGAAAAUUGUUGGUUGUGCUGAAGUGUCACCCUCAGGAGGAGAGAACACAGUGCUUCAGCACUUCUGUGCCUGAAUUAACUCAAGCUGCCAUGUGUCAGUCUCUUUUGACAGUUGGUAUUUUUCUGGGUUGGUGGGUUUUUAUCUCCUGUGUGUGCUCAUUGGCAGGACGAGGGCUAGUAUUGAGCAACCAUUAUAAGAGAGAAACAUUUUAAAAUGUCAUCUUUUGCUGAAUUUUCCUAGUAUGCCCUAAAAGGUGGAAACAAAUGUCCUUUGAAAUUCAUUUUUUUUUUUCACAUGCUACUCUGGCCAAUCUAUCAGGCUAGAAAAUUGCUAUUCUCUCCUUCCCUCGCCACCAGUGAUCCAAGCUUUAAUUUUGGAACUUUUAUAAAAUGUUAUCAAAUGGUUCCACAAUCCCAGAAAUUUCUUCUGCUCAGUAUGUGUUACUCUCUCUCAUUUCCCAACAUACACACACAUGCACACACACUGCUGAGUGCUGGUGAUGUUAAUCUUAACUUGGAACCCUCAUGUUAAACACACACACACACACACACACACACACACACACACACACACACACAGAGUUCGGGGUAGAGUUGAGUGAAAGUGCACCUCUGCCAGGUAAACUGGCUGUCUCCUGUUAAUGAGAAUUGCUUACAGUAGAUCCUCAUUAGAAGGCCAAUGAAUAGUUGAUGUUUUUAUUUUUCAUUGAUUUGAUAGCAUGAAAUAAAUGCCUGAGUAUUUGGAAAUAUAAAAGGGCUUUAAUCUUUAGUGUUCUACAGAUUGAUUUUCAAAAUUGAUAUUGUAUCUUCAUGGCCCAGAGAAGGUGAUAUUCGAGUUGCUGUGGAAAGAUUUGGAUAGGAGACAAGGGAAAAAGAGUACUUCAAGCCAAGGAUGCAAUUGCACUGUAUACACAGAAAAUGGCAGAUAAACUGGUGAGGCUAGUGCAUUUUGGGACAUGAAGUUCGAAAUAUACUUCGGAACCAUGUUUCAGAAGGCCUUGGAUACCAGACUAUGGGGUUGAGUUUUAUUCUUUAGGCAAGAAGAUUUUUGAAGAGGGAAAUGAUCUGAUUUAUGAACUGGGAAAAUAACUUAAAAAGUAGUAAAUGCAAUUUUUAGGGUAUAGGAUUGUCAUAUGUGUAUAGAGUUCUGAAGUUUACAUAGAUUUGUUUUGUGUUGUCCCCAUAGGAAAGACAUAAACCUCAGAUUAAUUCAACUCCUCUGAAAAGUUUUUAAAAGUUAAAAUGACAGAAAAUGCAAUUAAGUAAAGAGUAACUUAGAAAACACCAAAAGUUACCUCCCAAAGACAAUCAUUCUUAAAAAUUUGGUGCAUUACUUUCCAUUCCUUUUGGUACACAUAUUCAUCUUUCCAUCUAUUCACUCACUUAUACAACAAAUAUUUAUAGCUACUAUGGUAGACUAUAUAGAUAUAAGAUAGAUAAGACAAACGUGAUUCCUGUUUCUUUGGGCCUUAUGGUUUAGUUUAUUCUUUUUACAAAUGUACCAUCACAUAUUAACAUCCUUUUUUUUGAAUUAACAUUUUAAAUUAUCAUUAUAUCAUAUGCACCUGCUAUACCAUCAUAGAUACAUCAUUUGAUAAUAUUUUACCUUGUGGAUACCAUGUUUUUUUCCUUACUCUUAGACAUUUAGUGACUCUCAGUGUUUUUGCUAUUAUACACAACUUUGCAAUAAACAAUGUACCUUAUUUUUUCCUACAUUUUAGAUUAUUUCCCUAGAAAAGAUUCCUAUAAGAAUUGCAGAGUCAGGAGUUCCUGUCGUGGCGCAGUGGUUAAUGAAUCCAACUAGGAACCAUGAGGUUGCGGGUUUGAUCCCUGCCCUUGCUCAGUGGGUUGACGAUCCGGCGUUGCCGUGAGCUGUGGUGUAGGUCGAAGACGCGGCUCGGAUCCUGUGUUGCUGUGUCUCUGGUGUAGGCCAGCAGCUACAGCUCUGAUUAGACCCCUAGCCUGGGAACCUCCAUAUGCCGAGGGAGCGGCCCAAGAAAUGACAAAU